rnacentral:rRNA from 1 species
CAUGCAAGUCGAACGGCAGCACAGAGGAGCUUGCUCCUUGGGUGGCGAGUGGCGGACGGGUGAGGAAUACAUCGGAAUCUGCCCAGUCGUGGGGGAUAACUUAGGGAAACUUAAGCUAAUACCGCAUACGACCUACGGGUGAAAGCGGAGGACCGCAAGGCUUCGCGCGAUUGGAUGAGCCGAUGUCGGAUUAGCUAGUUGGCGGGGUAAAGGCCCACCAAGGCGACGAUCCGUAGCUGGUCUGAGAGGAUGAUCAGCCACACUGGAACUGAGACACGGUCCAGACUCCUACGGGAGGCAGCAGUGGGGAAUAUUGGACAAUGGGCGCAAGCCUGAUCCAGCCAUGCCGCGUGAGUGAAGAAGGCCCUCGGGUUGUAAAGCUCUUUUGUCCGGAAAGAAAAGCACUUGGCUAAUACCCAGGUGUCCUGACGGUACCCGCAGAAUAAGCCCCGGCUAACUUCGUGCCAGCAGCCGCGGUAAUACGAAGGGGGCUAGCGUUGUUCGGAAUCACUGGGCGUAAAGCGCACGUAGGCGGACUUUCAAGUCAGGGGUGAAAUCCCGGGGCUCAACCUCGGAAUUGCCUUUGAUACUGUAGGUCUCGAGUCCGGAAGAGGUGGGUGGAAUUCCUAGUGUAGAGGUGAAAUUCGUAGAUAUUAGGAAGAACACCAGUGGCGAANGCGGCUCACUGGUCCGGUACUGACGCUGA